UACCAUUGAUUGCUAUUUUGUUAACCUAUUUUAUGGUUAUCCUUACAAGAAAGAAGUUAAUUGAGAAUUAAACUUGUUUCUAUAAGACUACGUAAUCUAAAAGCACUAUGUUGUUUCGGAUUAGCAAUUGAAUUAUGAGAUGAGAACAUAUAGAGUUGGAUUGUGAUUGUUAAAUUUUCAUGUAUUAUUUUUUGUGGAGAAAACAUUAUCCAAAAUCUUGUAGAUAUGAAAUUAAUUAAUUAGGUAAAAUGGAUAUUGGGAGUAAUUGUGUUUGACUAGGCAAGGAGUUAACUUAAAUUAUUAUAAUCGGUUGGUUACGUUUUAUUUUAUUGCGAUAUAUUUAGAGUAGAGUAAAAACUCUUCCAAGCGCACACCAAUUGUGUCUAAUUAUUGAAAGUAACCAUUUAGAAAUCUAAGAUAGGGACGCUAUAACGUUACACUUCCUGAACGUUGCUGCUACCAACUUUUUUCACCGAAAACAAAUAUUGGUUAGAUUUUUUGAAUUAAUAGGAUAGACCUUUGAUUCAGGCAUUUUAGAAUCAGAAAAUGGUAAAUGUAACUAUAUGUACGGUAUUGCUACUUCAUGUUUUGGUUGUCGCUUCUCUACAAAUUAAACGUCAAGACAAUGGAGAUGAAGUAAUAAAUGGUGAAAAAUGUGCUAAUCAACGUACAUAUGUUUUUGUUGCAAGUCAAACAAAACCUGUACGUUGUGUUAGCAACAUGAAAGAAGCGGGAUGUGACUGGGAGCUUAAGAGUAAAUCAUUAACUUUCGGAUUUGUUCCAAAUGAAACAAUCAAAGCUACAACAUGUCAUAUCAGACUAAUGGAAAAGACGCAUUUUCCAGACGGACAGUUAUGUAGAAAUCAUUCAGAUGAAAAAAUAGAAGUUCAAAAUACGAACGCAUAUUUAAACACAUCAAUUGGGGUUCCAAUAUUGGCGAACAUAUCAAACGCACUUUGACUUAUCAAUUUGAUUAUGGUAACAAAUUUGUAACAAUAGGUUUCGCUUAUCACUGGGAUGGAAUGUUAAUCAAAAUAUUUAUAAAUUGUUUGGAUGAGAAUGGAGAGAAUAUAUCAGGGUCUGCUGGAACAAGAUGUGUGGUUAUUAAUAAUGAAGGAACUGCAACAUAUCAUCUAAAAGGUGAUGAAUAUUUCCCUCCUUCCACCACAAUCACAACAAGAAGCCCUGGGGGCUCCAAGAAUUUCCGCGCGCUACCAAAAUAUUUGAUGAAAACCUGCUAAUUCGUUGUGUUAUUGUGCCAAACAUUCAAAGGGGUUCGGUGCAUGAACCUCUGAAGAUAAAGCACACCACUGACAUUAUAUCUUACAACAAACGCAAACAAAUCGAAACGUGUCAUUAAACUCACAUUUUAAAAGAAGCUAACAAAAAAUACAGCCUAUCAUUCAUGGUUGAAAGUCUUGCGAUUGAAACGUUUAUGGUCUUAAACGGCAUUAGUUGACAAAAAAUCAAAAUUUUGAUGUGACCAUCAUUUUCAGCAUACUUUUUUUAUUAACUGUGUCAAUUUUUGUCGAAAAUAAAGCAGUUUUAAUUUUUGGAUAAAUUUUGGCCUGAAAUGACAUUUAGGUGCCAAAAAUUAAACUUUUGUACCAUCAUCAUUUUCAGCAUACUUUAUUUGUUAACUGUGCCAGAUUUAGCCGAAAAUGAAGUGGUUUUAAUUUUUGGACCAAUUUUGGCCUAAAAUAGCAUUUAGGUGACAAAAAUCAAAAUUUUGAUGUCACCAUUAUGUUCAGCAUACUUAUUUUGUUAACUUUGCCAAUUUUUGUUUAAAAUAAAGUAGUUUUAAUUUUUGGACCAAUUUUGGCCUAAAAUGACAUUUAGGUGACAAAAAUCAAAAUUAUUAUGUCACCAUUAUGUUCAGCAUACUCUUUUUGUUAACUGUGUUAAAUUUUGUCGAAAACAAAUACCAAUUUUGGCCUGAAACGUCAAUACGAGACUUCCCAGUAGUUAAGGGGCUUGGGUACGAAGUUUACAUCUGUGACUGAGCAAAGUGAAAUCCCAUGGUCGAUUUUUUCUCAAAAAAUGCUCCGAAAGAAAAAAACGACGGUUUUAAAGAAUUUCCUACGCCUUCGGGCGCGGAAAUUCAACAAGUACACAAACCACUUCAACAACAACCAAUGAUUUCACGACAACUACAAAAGUAACAGAUCAAUUAACUGAAAGUACAUUUCCUCCUGCAUGGACAACCACGAGUGCAAACACACAACCCGUGUAUCAGUGUAGUAUUGAGACUAAAAAUGUUUUAAUUGCUUUGUUGAGUGGUUUUGGUGGAUGUCUUAUAUGUUUAUGUCUUGUUAUUUUGAUUGGAAAGAAGAGAAAUUUUCUGAUGUAAGUUUUAAACAAAAUAAUUUUCUGUUGAUUUUUA